UAAACUUAUUUAGGUUUGGGUGACACGAGAUCACAAAUUUAGAUAUUUUUAAUUUUCAGUGCAAUAAAAGUAAACAACGUCGCAAAUUCUGAAAAAAUUGCAAACGACUACCGUGAUACUUGUGACUGUGAGAACCGGUUUUUCGAGGCCCAGUGUGGAUGAUGUUGGAGCUGUGCCAAACGGAGGCAAUUUGGACAAAACGGAGAGCCUAGAAACGAUUCCGAAAUGCAGCAACCGGAAGGAGACCAAAUUUUUCUUCGAAGUACGGGAUCGAUUCCAAUUUGCAAAAGCACCAGUGCCUCGAGACGAUGGAACAGGGGCCAGCGAAAUUCAGUAACAUUCAUCAGGGUACCAUGAUGUGGAUAUUUUUCUGUACUCACGACAUGUUAAGGAGACUUUUCCCCGUUUGGAAUGUGUGGAAGAUUUAAAGAGCAAUUCGGGGCCGACUAACUCGGGCAAAACGUAACAAGGCAUUGAACGGUUGUUGACGGCCAAUUCCGGCGUGCAUUUAUAUCCGCUGAAGUUGCUGGUCGGCAGGGGCAAUGCUCGGGGGACUACCUUUCUCGAAGAGUGUGGCGAACAAGGCUGAAUUGACAUCGAUCAAUAAGCAACUAUGAAGUUGGGAUAAUCGGGAAGAACCAGUUUACUGAGGCCAAUGAGCCGUUUCCAUCAGCAAAAGCGAAGAAGGGAAUUAUUGAAACCAGAAAGUUUGAAUAAACCUUUUUCAUCUGCGACUAAGAACGACAGACAGGCAGCAACAAUGGUUCUUUCGAAUAGAUCAUCUGGCUAUCUCUCUCACCGGAAUCAGUGAACGUUUAGGCCAAACUGAAUUCUACGGUUCCUGCAUGAAAACGAACUAUUUGCUUCCCAGGGCCAGCAGCAACGAUGCGCUCACAGAGACGACAGAGAAAGAUAAAUCGAAAAAGUACGGAAACAACCUUAGUGAUUAAGAUUUGCAAAAACUCGGGAGAUAGUUCACAUAAAUGCCGGUGUUAAAUAUGAGGAAGAUUUCACACAUUAGCACCUGUUUGGUAGUACCCCGGAAGUUAAU